UUCACAGCAGUUCACUUGUUGAAGAGGAUGUGCAGCCCUCAGCUGGAAACUUUUUUCAUAAACUGUCCUCCGUUCUAUUCACUGCGGGAGUUGUCCUCAUUUGUGCUGGUCGGUGUAUAUA